rnacentral:misc_RNA from 1 species
GAACUAUUAGAGUACUAAUUUUAUAAAUUUAUAGUGACAAUAAACGAAACAAGAUUAUUAAUUGAACACUGAUGAACUAGUGGAGUACUAAUUUGAUCAGUAAUAUACCCUGCCAAAAGACAAAGAACACAUUAAUUUUUAUUAUUCAAUAAAGCAGGUAGCUCUGAAGAAAGGAACCUAAAGAGGAGGACAUACACAUGCCAAAAUAGAAGUUCAAAACAUAAAAGUUCAAACCAACGCAAAACAUCACGGCCGGACCCACAGAUUAAUUAAUUUUAUAACAUGUUGGAGUAGUUUUUGGCAUGCAGCCUCAUUUGGAGAGAGGAGCCUCUUGGCUCUUCCUGAACAGCUUGUGUUCAAUAUGCUGAGCAAAUGUGCGAGGAGGGUACUGUGCUGGCUCCGUAUCUGUGACAAUCUCAGGCAAUGGCUUAAGGAUGAUUUUCUCCCUUGGUGGCUCACAGAAAACUGCCCAUGAAAUCCUCACCUUCUCCUUAUUAACAAGUCCCCUGUGAAGAAUACUCUUGUAUUUGCCAUUGCUCAAGAUCUCAACAGUGUCACCAAUGUGCAUGAUUAUAGAAUUUGGGACGCAUUUGGCUGUCACCCACUUGCCUUGAUAGAAGAGUUGCAGACCUGGAACCAUGUUGUGAAGGAUGAAAGUGAGGGCACUUAUAUCGGUGUGAGCUUCAACUCCUAGGGCAAGAUCUGGUUGAGGGCACUUGGGGUAGUAGUUGAUCUUCAUUUGGAGUAGCAGCUCUUCAAGUCCACCAACCUCUUUUUCUAGUCUGCCUUCUUCCAGUCCCAACCCAAUUGAUAGUACUGACAAAAUUUUGGUCGCUAGGCCUCUCAGUUGCCUUGCAUACUCACUGGUCACCUCAAUGUAGUCGUUGGGCGUCUUAGGCCAAAUGGACAAAUCCCGCUUCUCCUCAGGAAAAAUAAGAUGGAAGAAAUAGUCCUCCCACUCGAGCUGCCCAGAAGCAUUGUUAGCCAGUUUGCUUCCAUAUCCUUGAAUUUUCCCUGAAACCUGAUCAUUGGCAUACCCCUCCUUUUCUUCAAUAGGAAGAUCAAAGAAAGCCUGCCCAGCUUUUUUGACACGAUCAAUGAGAUCAUCAGAAAUGCCAUGGUUAACCAAGUGCAUGACACCCCACUCUUUGGCUGCCUUUACAAGAUCUGCCCUGCAUUUCUCGCGAACGACUAUGUCCUCAGAGUCCACUUCCUUCAAAUCAAUGGUUGGAACUUGAGGCCCUUCCUCUUUCUUCUCCUCUUCGAAGACAUUGCCGAUGCUUGUCAAUUCUUCUUGUGGGCGCACGUACUCUUUCGGGAUUGAAUUAAUCCCACUGCUUGACAAGCUCUCAACUCUGGUAGCCAUCGUUGUCACCAUUGUAGCAAGAAAAACGAAUGCUUUGAGAUUGGGAAACUACUAAUAAAUUUUUGUAUGCUCUAUGGAAUACUGCCUGGGAUUGUAGGGUUAAGCAAUAUGCAUGGCAUAUAUAAUGCCAAUAUGUUUAGUGUUAUAUGUAAAGACAGUUUACAUGAGCGGUUGUGGGUUAA